rnacentral:rRNA from 1 species
CCUACGGGAGGCAGCAGUGGGGAAUAUUGGACAAUGGGGGCAACCCUGAUCCAGCAAUGCCGCGUGUGUGAUGAAGGCCCUAGGGUUGUAAAGCACUUUCACUGGUGAAGAUGAUGACGGUAGCCAGAGAAGAAGCCCCGGCUAACUUCGUGCCAGCAGCCGCGGUAAUACGAAGGGGGCGAGCGUUAUUCGGAAUUACUGGGCGUAAAGGGAGCGCAGGCGGUUCAUUUAGUCAGACGUGAAAGCCCCGGGCUCAACCCGGGAGGUGCGUUUGAUACUGGUGAGCUAGAAAUCAGAAGAGGAUAGUGGAAUUCCCAGUGUAGAGGUGAAAUUCGUAGAUAUUGGGAAGAACACCAGUGGCGAAAGCGGCUAUCUGGUCUGUAUUUGACGCUGAGGCUCGAAAGCGUGGGGAGCAAACAGGAUUAGAUACCCCUGUAGUC